ensembl:misc_RNA 7SK 7SK RNA
GGAGGUGAAGGCGAUCUGGCUGCGACAUCUGUCACCCAUUGAUUGCCAGGGUUGAUUCAGCUGAUCUGGCUUGGCUAGGCGGGUGUCUCCUUCCUCCCUCACCGCUCCAUGUGCGUCCCUCCCGAAGCUGCGUGCUGGGUCGAAGUGGACGACCAUCCCUGAUAGAGGAAGACCGAUCUUUGGUCAAGGGUAUACGAGUAGCUGCUCCCCUUCUGGAACCUCUAGACAAGAUCUUAAGAUUUAUACCACAAAUAUAUAUAACAAAGCACAUAAGUUUACAAGGCACACAGUUCAACUGUAGCAUUAUGAGAAAUAAUACAGGGAGU